rnacentral:rRNA from 1 species
AUAUUGGUCAAUGGGCGCUAGCCUGAACCAGCCAAGUAGCGUGAAGGAUGAAGGCUCUAUGGGUCGUAAACUUCUUUUAUAUAAGAAUAAAGUGCAGUAUGUAUACUGUUUUGUAUGUAUUAUAUGAAUAAGGAUCGGCUAACUCCGUGCCAUCAGCCGCGGUAAUACGGAGGAUCCGAGCGUUAUCCGGAUUUAUUGGGUUUAAAGGGAGCGUAGGUGGACUGGUAAGUCAGUUGUGAAAGUUUGCGGCUCAACCGUAAAAUUGCAGUUGAUACUGUCAGUCUUGAGUACAGUAGAGGUGGGCGGAAUUCGUGGUGUAGCGGUGAAAUGCUUAGAUAUCACGAAGAACUCCGAUUGCGAAGGCAGCUCACUGGACUGCAACUGACACUGAUGCUCGAAAGUGUGGGUAUCAAACAG